CCUGUUUGGUGGUCUCUUCACACAGACGCACAUGACAACACUUGGCUGACAUUAUUUUUUAGCCAUUCAGUACUCUGAGUGGUGUGGGAAUAUAAUGAUUUUCUUAAUGCACAUUAUUCUGCAUUCAUCAAUCAGUUUCGAAAGACAAGGAUAAUACUGUCCAGACUAGAGAAAACAUUUUGGAGUCACAGAACAGGCAACAGCCAGUCUCUCCCUGACCCCAUUCCCACAUUAGCCUCUCUUUUCUAGAAAGAUGCUACAAACCAAGGGCCGAGUGAGAAGAAUGGUUCAUUUCCGAACAAUUCAAUCUGCUCCGAGAAACAAGGAAUUAGCCUGUGGAAGAUAAUCAUGUGCCCAGCCUUCUCCCAUUCAGCUCUGUUGAGUUAUAAAAGCCAAAGGAAUGGAACAACAACAACAGAAAAGCUAAAUGAUUCAGCCACAAUACAGAGUGAAUCAGCAAAGGAACAAAAAAAUGUAGGGAAAGGGAAUCUGUGUGGUGUCUUGAAUAAAAGUGCCUUCCAAUAAAUUUGGUGAAUUGUCUUCG
rnacentral:lncRNA from 1 species